rnacentral:rRNA from 1 species
AGAGCGCACGGAGGAUGCCUUGGCACUAGAAGGCGAAGAAGGACGCGACUAACAGCGAAAUGCUACGGGGAGCAGUAAGUACGCAAAGAUCCGUAGAUGUCCGAAUGGGGGAACCCAAUAGCACGAACUGCUAUUAUCGUAUGAUGAAUAAAUAGUCAUACGAAGCGAACCUGGAGAAUUGAAACAUCUUAGUACCCAGAGGAAAAGAAAGCAAUAGCGAUUCCCUAAGUAGAGGCGAUUGAAAGGGGAACAGCCCAGGCCACCGUAUAGAGUUACAAAAUUUCAUCGUAGUAGAAUCUAACUGGGAAGUUAGAACCAAAGAGGGUGAUAGUCCCGUAUACGAAACGAGGAGAUCUCUGGUGGACGAAGAGUAGGGCGGAGCACGAGGAAUUCCGUCUGAAAAUGCGAGGACCAUCUCGUAAGGCUAAAUACUAACUAGUGACCGAUAGUGAACCAGUACUGUGAAGGAAAGGUGAAAAGAACCCCUGGCGGGGAGUGAAAAGAACCUGAAACCGUGUGCUUACAAACAGUUAGAGCCCGUUAAUGGGUGAUAGCGUGCCUUUUGUAGAAUGAGCCGGCGAGUUAUGUUAGUUUGCAAGGUUAAGCUUUAAGGAGUGGAGCCGUAGCGAAAGCGAGUCUUAAUAGGGCGAGAUAGUAGGCUGACAUAGACCCGAAACCGGGUGAUCUAGCCAUGAGCAGGUUGAAGCUUGGGUAAAACCAGGUGGAGGACCGAACCAGGGUCUGUUGAAAAAGACUUGGAUGACUUGUGGCUAGGGGUGAAAUUCCAAUCGAACUCGGAGAUAGCUGGUUCUCCCCGAAAUAUCUCUAGGGAUAGCGUUGUGAUAGAGUUAUACGAAGGUAGAGCACUGAAUGGGUGAGGGCCUCACCUCGAGGUACUGAUCUCAAUCAAACUCCGAAUGUCGUAUAACGUGCACAGCAGUAAGACUGCGAGUGAUAAGGUCCGUAGUCAAAAGGGAAACAGCCCAGACCGCCAGUUAAGGUCCCAAAAUUAUGCUAAGUGGGAAAGGAGGUGGGGUCGCAUAAACAACUAGGAGGUUGGCUCAGAAGCAGCCACCCUUUAAAGAGUGCGUAAUAGCUCACUAGUCGAGUGAUCCUGCGCCGAAAAUGUAUCGGGGCUAAGCAUAAUACCGAAGCUGCGGAAUUAUAGUGAUAUAAUUGGUAGGGGAGCGUACUUAUCAGCGAAGAAGGUUGAUCGAAAGAACAGCUGGAGCGGUAAGCAGUGAGUAUGCCGGUGUGAGUAGCGAUAAGAUAGGUGAGAAUCCUAUCCGUCGAAAGCCUAAGGUUUCCAGGGGUAAGGCUCGUCCGCCCUGGGUAAGUCGGGACCUAAGGUGAGGCUGAAAAGCGUAGCCGAUGGACAACAGGUUGAUAUUCCUGUACUUCCGAUAGACUGAUGGAGUGACGGAGGAGGUAAAUCAUAUCUAGCUGGUGGAAUAGCUAGACUAAGUAAUGAGGCGUGUACAUAGGCAAAUCCGUGUACUAUAACGCAGAGUUAUGAUGGGGAAAGUAUGAGGAGCCACACUUCCAAGAAAAGCUUCUAAGAUAUCUAGAGGAACCCGUACCGUAAACCGACACAGGUAGGCGAGGAGAGAAUCCAAAGACGCGCGAGAUAAUUCUUGUUAAGGAACUCUGCAAAUUGACCCUGUAACUUCGGAAUAAAGGGGACUCACGAGAGUGAGGCGCAGAAAAUAGGCCCAAGCGACUGUUUAACAAAAACAUAGGUUUCUGCUAAAGCGCAAGCUGAAGUAUAGGAGCUGACGCCUGCCCAGUGCUGGAAGGUUAAGAGGAGAAGUUAGUCGCAAGGCAAAGCUUUGAAUUGAAGCCCCAGUAAACGGCGGCCGUAACUAUAACGGUCCUAAGGUAGCGAAAUUCCUUGUCAGGUAAGUUCUGACCUGCACGAAAGGCGUAACGAUUUGGGCGCUGUCUCAACAAGAAACUCGGUGAAAUCAUAGUACCUGUGAAGAUGCAGGUUACCCGCGAUCAGACGGAAAGACCCCAUGGAGCUUCACUGCAGCUUAAUAUUGAUAUUGAGUGUGAGAUGUACAGGAUAGGUGGGAGACGAAGAAGCGAGUACGCUAGUAUUCGUGGAGUCAACCUUGGGAUACCACCCUUCGCACAUUUAGUAUCUAACUAGUUUCCAUAAUCUGGGAAUAGGACAG